GUCUGCAACUCGACUCCAUGAAGUCGGAAUCGCUAGUAAUCGUGGAUCAGAAUGCCACGGUGAAUACGUUCCCGGGCCUUGUACACACCGCCCGUCACACCAUGGGAGUGGGUUGCAAAAGAAGUAGGUAGCUUAACCUUCGGGAGGGCGCUUACCACUUUGUGAUUCAUGACUGGGGUGAAGUCGUAACAAGGUAACCGUAGGGGAACCUGCGGUUGGAUCACCUCCUUA
rnacentral:rRNA from 5 species